CCCUGCUCUUAUGAACUGAUCGUGCCCAGGGUUUUCACGUCUCGUCUUCGUCUUCGUCUUCUACCUUCUCAUCAUCGACCGCGAGACGCAGAGAUUCGAGCCUGUUCAGUAUCCCUAACGGCUCUGAUUUCAAUAACUCUGCAACUUAACUCCACUGAGUGGUAGAGAAGGCGAGAGCCACCACUGGAUCUCUCUCUCUCUCUCUCUCUCUCCCGUGCCGGAUCUCUCUCUCUUUCUCCCGUGCCUCGCUCUGUCACGUUUACAUCUCUCUCUCUCUCUGUGAGUUUUGAUUUCGAUUUGUUUUUGUCUUGGUAAAGAAAGUUGGAGGAGGCAGAGAAGCUUGAUGGAGGAGGACGGAGAAGAAGCUUCACGAGGUGGAGGAGGCUGGACGAACAGACAUCGGAAGAGGCGGGAUGAAAAGGCGGAGGAGGAGGCAUGACGCUCAAGUUUGCCAGCGGUGGAGAGUACACCAAGAAGAUGGCGGCCUUUUGAUUAGGUUCAAAUAUUUUGUAACCAGCGAUUGUCCCUUCGUUGGUUACAAAUCCUGUGCGAAGAGGAUUUUUAUUUUGUUAUCCCAUUUACAAAUCCUGUGCGAAGAGAUAUUGUGAUACCUAAGCGUUGUACCCGGUAACUAUGAUCCGACAGAUUGCUGCAGGUGGUACUCACUCUAUAGUUUGAUACGCGAAGGUUAUGUGUGGACUUGGGGUCAUCCGUGACCUCCCCAUGACAUUGUAUAGAUUAAAAUUAAAACUCACAAAAAGGCAUUUGGUGCAUUAUUUGGCUACUACUUGAAUGUUCGAUUUUGGUUUCCUCUCUACUGAAGAAAACAAAUAUUUGUUCCAGUGUUCAAGGUCCUCUGUCGGAGCAUUUUGUAAUGUGGCUCUUGAAUAAGAUGGGAGGCUCUUCGCACGACCCCUCAUCAUGUCCAAGUCCAAGGCCUCGAUGAUCUCACUUUGAUUUGUUUCUUUCUCUUCCUUUUAUUGAUUCAUUUUCUACUCACUAAAACCUUCAAAAGGGGACUAUGUUGUCAACUUAUCUCUCUUUAAACUCAUUUUUAGGUUAAUAUUGAUGCGGGUGGCUUGCAUUCAACUUCUUUAACUGCUAGGUGGACGGUUGGGGAAGAGAGAACACGGAAGACUCGGGUUAGGUGACAAUGACAAGAUCAGCAAAAUAGUUCCACAGAGAGUUAAUCUUCUCCCUGACAAAGAUAUCCUGCAUGUUGUAAAGCCUUAAACUUUAAUUAUCUUUAGAUCUCUAAAAGAGGAUCUCAUUCAUGUAAAGAAGCGUUAACCUUUAAUGAUCAAUAACCUUUUUACAGAUACGUUUCUUGCGGCUGAACACAUUCCGUUGCUUUGAAAAGAGAUGGCAAAAUAUUAUCGGCUGCUCUCUUGAAACCCAAGAAAUGUGCUUUAAGGUUUACUUCAUAAGUAAAGAGUCAUUUUCCUAUCAUUAUCUUUGUGAUCAGAUUGGUAGAGGAGAUCAUGGCAGACGGUUAUGGAAGGAAUGUAACACCUGGACAGCCAUUGGAGUUUUUUAUAUAUUUCACCACCUGAAAGAAGCUUUAAUAACGCCAUAAAGAAGUAAGGAAAAUGGUCAGCUAAAUUGAUUGCUUGCGGUGGGCUCCACAGUCUUGCCAUCGUGGAAUGAAUCAAGGCAAAAGGAGAGUAUGCUUUAUUAAAAGGGGGAGGGGGAAGAGAGAACGUAAUCACCAUUUCAUAGCUAUCGGAAUUGAUACCAGUAAAUGAGGAAAAGCAUGAUGGCACAAGCUCUGAAAGACUGGAACCAUCGGGGUUUAGAUCCUUGCCGCAGGAUAAGCACUGGCUAGCGACUAUGAUAGUGACAUGAGUACAUGACUGGUCAUGAGAAUCACAAACGCACCAGCUCCAAAACUGUCUUUAGCGGCUUGCUUGAUAACCUCGGUUAUAUUCUCUUCAUCUGUUCAUUGAGGAAUUAAGGCACAAAUUAUUAGAAAAGAAAUUUUAUAUCAAUUCAACAUAACUAAAUAUAAUAAACAGUUU